AGUGAACGCUGGCGGUAGGCCUAACACAUGCAAGUCGAACGGCAGCACAGUAAGAGCUUGCUCUUACGGGUGGCGAGUGGCGGACGGGUGAGGAAUACAUCGGAAUCUACUUUUUCGUGGGGGAUAACGUAGGGAAACUUACGCUAAUACCGCAUACGACCUACGGGUGAAAGCAUGGGAUCUUCUGACCUUGCGCGAUUGAAUGAGCCGAUGUCGGAUUAGCUAGUUGGCGGGGUAAAGGCCCACCAAGGCGACGAUCCGUAUCUGGUCUGAGAGGAUGAUCAGCCACACUGGAACUGAGACACGGUCCAGACUCCUACGGGAGGCAGCAGUGGGGAAUAUUGGACAAUGGGCGAAAGCAUGAUACAGCAAUACCGCGUGGGUGAAGAAGGCCUUCGGGUUGUAAAGCCCUUUUGUUGGGAAAGAAAAGCAGCAGGUUAAUACCACGCUGUUCUGACGGUACCCAAAGAAUAAGCACCGGCUAACUUCGUG
rnacentral:rRNA from 1 species